rnacentral:rRNA from 1 species
UACAGAGGGUGCGAACGUUGCUCGGAAUUACUGGGCGUAAAGCGCAUGUAGGCGGAUCCAUCAGUCGGGGGUGAAAUCCCGAGGCUCAACCUCGGAACUGCCUUCGAUACUGCGGGUCUCGAGUCCGGGAGAGGUGAGUGGAAUUCCUAGUGUAGAGGUGAAAUUCGUAGAUAUUAGGAAGAACACCAGUGGCGAAGGCGGCUCACUGGCCCGGUACUGACGCUGAGGCGCGAAAGCGUGGGGAGCAAACAGG